GUUCUGAAAAGUAAGCUCUUAACUGGAAAAGGCUAUGGAGGAAGUUAUGCUACAGAGUCAAAACAGAUUUUUCAAAAUUAUAUGAAGUCUAUGCAUGGUAUUGUUGAUGGAAAACGUUGAAUGCAGUCGGAUUAUGCAAGCGCCGUGCAAACGACGCUGACAUGGAAAAAAUCAUAUGGCACCGUUUUUACUUUUUACGUUUCCUUUCCUCCUUCUCUCUGAUUCUAAAGACCCUUAUCUUUAUUUCAAAAAACCCUUCCUUCCCUCUCUUUUGUGUCUUCGUUAGUAGUGGUCCAAGAAUGCAUGGACUUUAGGCUUUAUUUUACAAAAGUGCAUUUGGGUAAUCCUUCAAGAGAAUUCUAUGUGCAGAUUGAUACGGGUAGUGAUGUUCUGUGGGUCAGUUGUAGCUCCUGCAAUGGUUGCCCCAAAACGAGUGGACUCCAAGUAUCACUUCGUAUUCAUAUUUCUUUGACAUGGUUCAAGUCCUGUAGCUUUCUUUAAACAGUAAGAGCAUACUGCUAUGAAUUUUCGAUUCAAAUGUCUUUUUUUCUUACAGAUUCAGCUCGAUUUCUUUGAUGCUAGGAGCUCAUCAACAGCUUCAUUGAUCUCUUGUUUAGACCAAAUAUGCAGUCUUGGAGUUCAAUCUUUAGAUGCCAUCUCAUAUUUAGCAAAUCUCAGGAAAUUUUUUUUUUUUUUAAAUCCGAAUUAAAUCGUUUUGUUGGUAGUAAGCUUCAGUUUGACUCUAUUUUCCUGCUCAUGUUGCCAUUCUUCUCCAUGGUGGUGGGCUCAUUUAGGAAGUAUAUUUACAUGAGCUAGCUUGUCUCUGUUUUUCUUGAUGAAAAUAGGGCUUCUCUGCAUCCAGUGAAUCCAAGGCUCAUGCCACCCUAUCUGCUAUGGUGGCCAACCACACAGCCACACAAAUUCAGUACUGGGCCACUGCGAGAGAGACGCACCAAAAAAAUCCUUCAGCCACCGUUAAACAGCCACUCAAGCCUUAUUUGAAGCACCUAAACUAACAAAACUAAAAAAAAAGAUGAACAACGGCUGGAGAGAAGAGAGGGAGGGAGGACUUCUCUCUAGAGAUAUGGGAGAGCUUCUCUCUCCUGCUUGAGUGAUACUUUUUACAUUAGUGUUUCUUGAAACUUGAAGAAUAAGAUUUUACCAAUUUCAUCUUUCC